ACGAGCAUGCAGAUGAGCUUCACUGAGACGGUUUCUGACAGUUUGUGCAGAAUUUCUUUGGUUAUGCAAACCGAUUGUAGCUGCAGCUGUCUAGGUGGUUGGUCUCAGACGAUAAUGGAGGUGAACAUGCUGGAUUUGCAAGCCAUUGGCAUUUGACC